GAUGAACGCUGGCGGCGUGCCUAAUACAUGCAAGUCGAGCGAACGGACGAGAAGCUUGCUUUUCUGAUGUUAGCGGCGGACGGGUGAGUAACACGUGGAUAACCUACCUAUAGACUGGGAUAACUUCGGGAAACCGGAGCUAAUACCGGAUAAUAUUUUGAACCGCAUGGUUCAAAAGUGAAAGACGGUCUUACUGUCACUUAUAGAUGGAUCCGCGCUGCAUUAGCUAGUUGGUAAGGUAACGGCUUACCAAGGCAACGAUGCAUAGCCGACCUGAGAGGGUGAUCGGCCACACUGGAACUGAGACACGGUCCAGACUCCUACGGGAGGCAGCAGUAGGGAAUCUUCCGCAAUGGGCGAAAGCCUGACGGAGCAACGCCGCGUGAGUGAUGAAGGUCUUCGGAUCGUAAAACUCUGUUAUUAGGGAAGAACAUAUGUGUAAGUAACUGUGCACAUCUUGACGGUACCUAAUCAGAAAGCCACGGCUAACUACGUG
rnacentral:rRNA from 1 species